GUUUUCCUUCUCAUCCCAGUGUAAGACUGCUUCACUCGGAGAGUGGGUAUGCUCUCAAGGUGAGAUCAGAUGCUGAGCUAGAAAAAAAGUGUUUGGGGACUGCUCAGAAAAGGAAUCAGAAAAAGCAGUAGAAGACAUGCCCUUUCCCAGUGAGGGAAAUGCCGCAGGAUUUCUCUUUUUAUCUAAACCCCUGAACGGAUUUGCCACUAAAAGAAAGAUAAUCCACAUUAUGUAGAAACAAAAUUACAUUCACAUGAACACACGCAUACAGACGCACACUGUUCUGUUCCAGCUGCAGGACACGGGCUCUGGGAGCAGUGGCCUCGAAGACCCCAGCAAGCAAGCCUGCAGAUGAAGCUAGGACCAAGCCUGCCUCUAUGUACCACUGGAGCAUUCUGGAGACAGUGAGACGCGAGCAAUCAGUGAAAGAGAGAGACACCACAACUUGACAAACUGUUACUGGGAGAACGUCAAAUGUGUAAGUCUAGCUGCAAGGAGGCUGCAGGCUGCUGAGGAUGGGACACGUGCAGCCUGCUAUUGCUGGCAGAGAAGGGCCAUGGUUAUGAAGAGAGGCUGAUCUGUGCCUUCACUACAGCACUGAGCUGCUCCAAACUGAAGCAGCCUUCAUACCUUUCAGUGUGCCUGCUGACUGCUCUGAACUAUCAGGGCUGGCCCCUUCUGCUUCAGUAGUGUUCUUGACUGUUUUGUUUCCAAGGCUUAGCAAUCGCCACAUAAGAGCACUUCUAAGGAGGUUUUAAAAUGCCUUUAGUGCAUCAAGGGACAGCAGCAGGAGGACGAUAUGAACCAUUUUGGUCUGAGACAUUUGGACUUAGAUGCAUCCAGGCAUUAAGUCAGUGAAAGCCGGGCAGGAUCAGGCCGAAACUGGCAUUAUGCGCUGUUGGAAGCAAAUCCAAUUCACAUAGUUUUAAGCACAUGUAAACCAUUUUCUAUGGGGACUUGGAGUGCUUUACGAGAGUGCUCAAGGGACCAGGUGACUUUUAGCAUGGUGAAUUUCUGUAG
rnacentral:lncRNA from 1 species